rnacentral:rRNA from 1 species
GGGUAGUUUGACUGGGGCGGUCUCCUCCUAAAGAGUAACGGAGGAGCACGAAGGUUGGCUAAUCCUGGUCGGACAUCAGGAGGUUAGUGCAAUGGCAUAAGCCAGCUUGACUGCGAGCGUGACGGCGCGAGCAGGUGCGAAAGCAGGUCAUAGUGAUCCGGUGGUUCUGAAUGGAAGGGCCAUCGCUCAACGGAUAAAAGGUACUCCGGGGAUAACAGGCUGAUACCGCCCAAGAGUUCAUAUCGACGGCGGUGUUUGGCACCUCGAUGUCGGCUCAUCACAUCCUGGGGCUGAAGUAGGUCCCAAGGGUAUGGCUGUUCGCCAUUUAAAGUGGUACGCGAGCUGGGUUUAGAACGUCGUGAGACAGUUCGGUCCCUAUCUGCCGUGGGCGCUGGAGAACUGAGGGGGGCUGCUCCUAGUACGAGAGGACCGGAGUGGACGCAUCACUGGUGUUCGGGUUGUCAUGCCAAUGGCACUGCCCGGUAGCUAAAUGCGGAAGAGAUAAGUGCUGAA